UACAGAGGGUGCGAGCGUUGUUCGGAAUUAUUGGGCGUAAAGGGCGCGUAGGCGGCCACCGCAAGUCGACUGUGAAAUCUCCGGGCUUAACCCGGAAAGGUCAGCCGAUACUGCGGGGCUAGAGUGCAGAAGGGGCAACUGGAAUUCUCGGUGUAGCGGUGAAAUGCGUAGAUAUCGAGAGGAACACCUGCGGCGAAGGCGGGUUGCUGGGCUGACACUGACGCUGAGGCGCGAAAGCGUGGGUAGCAAACAGG
rnacentral:rRNA from 1 species